rnacentral:misc_RNA from 1 species
GUAGGUGAACCUGCGGAAGGAUCAUUAUUGAAUAAACUUGAACAGGCUGUUGCUGGCCCUCUCUUGUGAGGGGGACAUGUGCACGCUUGUCAUCUUUAUCUCUCCAACUGUGCACACAUUGUAGACCUGGAGUCGUCUUUGUUGAUUCAUUCGAGUUGGCACUGCAGCGCUUUUCAAAACAAAAAAAAGUCUGCUCUGCCUUUUGCAUUUCCAGGUCUAUGUCAUUUUCACAACCUCAAUGUGUUUAGAAUGUCGAAUCAGGUCCUUUUUUGUACCUAUAAAAGUUAAAUAUACAACUUUCAGCAACGGAUCUCUUGGCUCUC